CAGGACGUCAUACUCCCGUAAUACCACUGUGAAUCUUACCUACCUUCGUUGCCUCGGCGGACGCCGCGCCUCCCGCUUGGGGGGCGCCGGGUCCACGUCCGCCGGCGGCCCGCAUACUCUGUCUCAGCGUGUUGGCAUCUCCGAGUACAAUACAAACGAGUCA
rnacentral:misc_RNA from 1 species